UGCAACCAAAAUAUCUCAUUGAAUCAUCUUCCUCAGCUCCGACCGGCUCUGCUAUUUAUGACUGUGGAGUCACUUCUGCCUCCCCGGCUGCUUCACACGGAGCGCGGAGCCAGCCCCGGCAGACGUGAGCGGUGCCAGCAGCAGCAGGAGCUCUCUGGUGGGUGAAACCUUCUGCUCGCACAGCAAGUCCCAGCCCUGAGCUGCUGGAGACACGGGGUGUUGCAAACUCCCUGGCUCCUGGAGGCAGGUGCUGCUUUAGUGAUCAGCUCUGAACGCCGUGGCAAGCAGUGGGAGCUGAGGCUGGAAUGUAAGUCCAAGUUAAUGAAGCAGCCUCAAAGUUGAGGAGGAAGAGAAUAAACUGCAGCUCUGAGGCACAGAUCAUUGGAGAUUCCUUUUUCAAACCCUGUGUUCGCCACUCACUGGAGUUAUUUGAUUUGGGAACAAGAUAAGAAUUCACAUUAUCUGAUUUGUAGAAAUAACCUGGAGGAAGGAAAAACAGUCAGAAAUACUAAUUUCAGAUAUAAUUUUCAUGCCUCAGUUUUCUAAAAGUCUUUCUCAUAUCUAAUAGCAUUAAGCAAAUACAAAGUACAGAUUUUGGGGAAGUUGUGCACCGACUGACAAAUGCGUCUACAAAUAGCCCACAGUUCAGCACUUCUUUUUCUGUCAAUACUCCGUGACCAGGAAAGGUUUGGAGCAUAAUUCUCUCCCAGUAAUCUAUCUUCUCCCUUUCUCCCUCUCCCUUUUUUUUUUUUUCCUAGUAAAAAAUAGACCUGGAAAUUCAUUGCUGAUUUCCCAGGAGUGUUAUUCAUGCCAGUUUAUUUAUGUAUUUAUUAUUCAAGUGCAAACUAUUGCAGUUCCUUGUGGUAAACUGCAAAUCAAACUGAUAGAGGCAGAGGGCUGGCUGUCACACCAAGUGCCGUAGAGAUGAGUGCUGAUGCUGUGGCUCCUACUGCCCCUAAGUGAUGAGGUGUGAGGACAAUUCAGCCUCCUUGGUGCUCAGGUCUGCCCAGACCUUGGCUAGAGCUGGAAAAUGGAUUUUCCAGGAUUUUCACCAGGAUUUAAUUGUCUUCAGCAGGACAUUUAAUACAACUAUGUUUUAACAUGUAAGCAUAAUAGUUUAUUGUGUUUAAGUGAUGGAACUGCAGCUAGGAGAAAUCUAUAUAAAGGCUGAUAAGAAAGGGGCAACUUUGCCUUGGAAUGUGGUCAAUUGCAAAAAUAAAAGAUGUCUAAUGUA